rnacentral:rRNA from 1 species
AUUGAACGCUGGCGGAAUGCUUUACACAUGCAAGUCGAACGGCAGCACGGACAUCGGUCUGGUGGCGAGUGGCGAACGGGUGAGUAAUGUAUCGGAACGUGCCCAGUCGUGGGGGAUAACGCAGUGAAAAUUACGCUAAUACCGCAUACGAUCUAUGGAUGAAAGCGGGGGAUCGCAAGACCUCGCGCGAUUGGAGCGGCCGAUAUCAGAUUAGGUAGUUGGUGGGGUAAAGGCGCACCAAGCCAACGAUCUGUAGCUGGUCUGAGAGGACGACCAGCCACACUGGAACUGAGACACGGUCCAGACUCCUACGGGAGGCAGCAGUGGGGAAUUUUGGACAAUGGGCGGAAGCCUGAUCCAGCCAUUCCGCGUGCAGGAUGAAGGCCCUCGGGUUGUAAACUGCUUUUGUACAGAACGAAAAGGUUUCUACUAAUACUAGGAGCUCAUGACGGUACUGUAAGAAUAAGCACCGGCUAACUACGUGCCAGCCGCCGCGGUAA